rnacentral:Y_RNA from 1 species
GGCUGGUCUGAUGGUAGUGGGUUAUGAGAACUUAUUAACAUUAGUGUCACUAAAGUUGGUGUUCAACCCCCCACUGCUAAAUUUGACUGGCUUAAA